rnacentral:lncRNA from 1 species
GGAAAUUGAAAGAGCAGAUGGCAAAGGUAAAAUGGAAGGAAUGUUUUCCUCCAUUAUUGAUAACCGCGGUGCAGUAACAGCAGCAGGAUUAAAGGAAUAUUCCAGUUUAAUGGACCCAAAGAUUACGCACCUAAUUGGUAGUUACCUCUAUUUUCGGAAGAGAUAAGAUUACUGUUGACGGAUGGUCACGUUGACCAAAGGUUGACCCUUAU